rnacentral:lncRNA from 1 species
UCCAAACCAAGUUUGCCCUCCUCAUCCCAGAUGCCAGGAUUGUUCUCAAAAGUUCCUAAUAACACUAAGCAGCACCCAGGAGCCCUCAAAACAAGCAACAUGAAUAAAGGCUGAAGGGGAAAGAGAAGUUCUACUGCUCUGGCGUCUCCCACUGCUUGAAAUAACGGACUCUCUCGGCAGGUCGG